CUUUGAAGCAUCCCUCAGCUCAGACCUUCCCAGGCCACUCACAAACAACCCUUUACCACCACAUUUCUCCACGGGAUUUAUGUUUCAACACCAUCAUCCCAGAUAUUACCCUCUGAGGACACAGAUGAGAACGAAGUGAAGGACAGCUGUGACCCAAAAGCACCCCCAGGACACGAGUGCCGGGCACAGCACACACACCCUGUCCUUCAGCAUUUCCCUUUGCUCCAUUCUCCCCAGCCUUAACCUAAAACCUUUAUUGUUCCGGGAUGACGUUAGGAUGUAUCGGUGUAGACAGAGCUGUCAGGAUUUCUGUUUUUUUUCCCCAAAGCCGUGCCACAUUUCUCACCCUGAUGCUGAGGACAAAAGGACUGAGUCCCACACACACGGCUGUCUGCAGACGGGCAGCAAUAAAAGUUGAUUAUUAAUAAGCCACAUGGAUCCGGGCCAUGGCAGCUGCGACAUUGCUGGGAAGAGAUAAAGAAAAUUGCAGAGGUGGAGGGAAAACGUGCCAAGGGGGGGGACAAGUGUGUCCCCAGCAGAGAUCAACCGGACCCCAAGCACUGCGUGGUCCUGAGUUAUGGAGGAGAAUGAGGACUGGAGACUUCCCAGCUCCCAUUCCUCCACACCAGGGCUGAAGAUUUGGGAUGUGGCGUUUCAAGGCUCAGGGAACACUCAGUGCGAACGCUUUGGGGACUGCUGGGCAGCCCAGUGCCCCCACAUUGCAGAACAUCCCCAGCAGUGUUGGGGAACGGGGCAGAGGGAAGGGCAAGAAAUUCCCAAUCUGUUCGGCUCCCAUUCUUGCCUCCCCUUUUGUUCCACUCGCCAUCUGUCCCGCAGCCCUGCACACCCCACACUCCCUCCACACAUGCUGUAAAUUAUCAAGCUGGGUUUUGUCUCUGCUUCUAAAGGCACAGUGUGCCCGGAGCCGUGCUGCAUCCCCAAGUGCCAGCCUUAGAGCUGUGAGGGCUGGCACUGCCGGGGGUCCUGCUGCUCCUUCCUGACUGCUGGGAUCUGGGGGGCGCACCCCUGCCGUGCUCUGCUCCUCGGGGAUUUACAGCCCCAACCCAGCAGGAAGGACAGGUGGGGCAGAGCAAAGGGCACCGGGCAGCACUCCGGCCCAGGACACGUCGGGGAUGAAUGCUGGUUUAUGCAACGUGCCAAUCGCUGAUGGCAGGGGGCACCGACCGACCUGGGCUCCUUGAAUCAGACGCUUCCAGCAGAAACAUCCAAAAUAAAAUAAAAGUAAAAAUCCCAGCAGAAAGCUUGACAGAAAGAGUGUCCAAAUGGCAUCAGGAGGUGGGGAAUGGUGGCUGUGCCUUUAUUUACUUCCAGUCUGUCCUGAAGUGGUCCCGGGGUGUCACUCUGCACCCCUCCCCACACCCCAGAGCUGAUCCUGAGGGACCGUGAUCCGACCAGAAGGAAAAUGACGAGCAAAAUAAAAAUAGGAGAUGAGUCAUCUCUGAGAAGGCCGGCGGUCAGACCUGGCAACUGUGCCGUAGUGCUGACUCCUCACUGAGCGCUCCUCUGCAUGAGAGCUGUGUUUUAAUCGGGGCUGGGAGCACUCCAGUUUUGGGCCAUCGCAGCUCUGCUUGUGGGGACCCAAACAGCGGUGGCUGCAGCCCUGCGGGAGCCCAAACAGAACCUGUGGGCACAGCGGGGGCAUGGGCUGUGCUGACCCCCUCAGACCACGCGCACAGCAAAUGGGCUCCGUCCCACCACUCUGCGCCUUUGAACUCGCAUGGCUCCGAUGUAAUCAGCAACCAACGGGGCGCCCAUUCCUCCCUAACAGCCCUGUUUCACAAGCAGCAGCAAUUUGGGUGUGCUUACUGAAACUAAUGAAGGGAUGAGUUCAGAAAGGAGCGGCCUUGACAGAGCACCAAAACCAACCCAGCAGCUGUUUUCCUCCUCGAGGCAGGAUA
ensembl:lncRNA